GACGAACGCUGGCGGCGUGCCUAAUACAUGCAAGUCGAACGCACUCUCGUUUAGAUUGAAGGAGCUUGCUCCUGAUUGAUAAACAUUUGAGUGAGUGGCGGACGGGUGAGUAACACGUGGGUAACCUGCCCUAAAGUGGGGGAUAACAUUUGGAAACAGAUGCUAAUACCGCAUAAAACCUAACACCGCAUGGUGUAGGGUUGAAAGAUGGUUUCGGCUAUCACUUUAGGAUGGACCCGCGGUGCAUUAGUUAGUUGGUGAGGUAAAGGCUCACCAAGACCGUGAUGCAUAGCCGACCUGAGAGGGUAAUCGGCCACACUGGGACUGAGACACGGCCCAGACUCCUACGGGAGGCAGCAGUAGGGAAUCUUCCCACAAUGGACGAAAGUCUGAUGGAGCAACGCCGCGUGAGUGAAGAAGUUUCGGAUCGUAAAACUCUAGUUGUUGGAGAAGAAUGUAUCUGAUAGUAACUGAUCAGGUAGUGACGGUAUCCAACCAG
rnacentral:rRNA from 1 species